CGUAUAUUAAAGUUGUUGCAGUUAAAAAGCUCGUAGUUGGAUUUGUGGCAGGUGCGUGCUGCCCGACAUUGUGUGUUGGUGUUAGUGCGCGCCGCCAUCCCUGGGUGGAACCUGUGUGGCAUUAGGUUGUCGUGCAGGGGAUGCCCAUCUUUUACUGUGAAAAAAUUAGAGUGUUCAAAGCAGGCUUAUGCCGUUGAAUAUAUUAGCAUGGAAUAAUGAGAUAGGACCUUGGUACUAUUUUGUUGGUUUGCGCACCAAGGUAAUGAUUAAUAGGGACAGUUGGGGGUAUUCGUAUUCCAUUGUCAGAGGUGAAAUUCUUGGAUUUCUGGAAGACGAACUACUGCGAAAGCAUUUACCAAGGAUGUUUUCAUUAAUCAAGAACGAAAGUUAGGGGAUCGAAGAUGAUUAGAUACCAUCGUAGUCUUAACCAUAAACUAUGCCGACAAGGGAUUGGCGGGGUUUCAUUUAGUCUCCGUCAGCACCUUAUGAGAAAUCACAAGUCUUUGGGUUCCGGGGGGAGUAUGGUCGCAAGG
rnacentral:rRNA from 1 species